AAUCUAUUUUAAUAUUUUAAAUUAAUAUAUUAUAUUUUAUUACAUUAAUGGAAGUAAGACAAAUUUUUAAGUUAAUAUUUUUUACCUUUUGUAUAAUGGCUAUACGAUAAUUGUAUUACAUAAUAGUUCCCGAAAAAAGAAGACAAAACUAUUAACGUUUUUUAGAAUAAAAAGAAACUAUGUUGAAAUAUGGUUCUAUAGAUUAAUAGUUAGGAGUGAAAAACUUUCAAUUCUUUAGAUAUCUGGUAGUUCUAGAAAAGCAUUUAGUGCUGUAUUAAGUUAGACAUAAAGUGUUUAGGUUUUAUGUUAAAAGAAUUUUAAAUUUAAAUCUAUUUCUUUAGAGUUAAUCCUACAAAGAAAAUAUGUUUGAAAAUAUUUAUUUUUAAAUUUAUCUUAUCUUUAUAGAACUUUUUUGGAUAGACUAGAUCCAUAAAAUAAUAAUGUAUAGAUAAGUAAUAACUGAAAACAUAUAUUAAAAAGAUUAAAGUUUUAAUAUAGUUUAAUAAUGGUAUAAUUUAAUUGGAGAAAAGGAACUCGGCAAAAAUAAAUUUCGACUGUUUAACAAAAACAUAGUCUUAGGACAAUUAUCUAAGAUAAAACCUGCCCAGUGUUAUUAAUAUAAAUGGCCGCGGUACUUUGACCGUGCUAAGGUAGCGCAAUCAAUUGACUUUUAAAUGAGGUCAGGUAUGAAUGGAAUAACGGGAUUUAGCUGUCUCUUUAACUAAUUUAUUGAAAUUACUAUAUAGGUGAAAAAGCCUAUGUUUAGAAAAAAGACGAGAAGACCCUUAGAGCUUGAUCUUAAGUUAAGAUUUUUUUUCAUUUUCUUAUAAUAGUUUUGUUGGGGCAACAUAGGAACAUAAAAAUUUCCUUUAUAAAAAUAUACCGAUGAUUAUAAAUCUAAAUAAGCUACCUUAGGGAUAACAGCAAAAUAUUAUAAAUGAGUUUGUGACCUCGAUGUUGGACUAGAAAACUAAUUGGUUAGCCGCUUAUUAGGAAGGUUCUGUUCGAACCAUAAUUUU
rnacentral:rRNA from 1 species